rnacentral:rRNA from 1 species
ACGAACGCUGGCGGCAUGCCUAACCCAUGCAAGUCGAACGAGACCUUCGGGUCUAGUGGCGCACGGGUGCGUAACGCGUGGGAACCUGCCCUUAGGUUCGGAAUAACUCCCCGAAAGGGGUGCUAAUACCGGAUAAUGUCUUCGGACCAAAGAUUUAUCGCCUUUGGAUGGGCCCGCGUUGGAUUAGCUAGUUGGUAGGGUAAAAGCCUACCAAGGCGACGAUCCAUAGCUGGUCUGAGAGGAUGAUCAGCCACACUGGGACUGAGACACGGCCCAGACUCCUACGGGAGGCAGCAGUGGGGAAUAUUGGACAAUGGGCGAAAGCCUGAUCCAGCAAUGCCGCGUGAGUGAUGAAGGCCUCAGGGUUGUAAAGCUCUUUUACCCGGGAUGAUAAUGACAGUACCGGGAGAAUAAGCUCCGGCUAACUCCGUG